rnacentral:rRNA from 1 species
GACGAACGCUGGCGGCGUGCUUAACACAUGCAAGUCGAACGGAAAGGCCCUGCUUUUGUGGGGUGCUCGAGUGGCGAACGGGUGAGUAACACGUGAGUAACCUGCCCUUGACUUUGGGAUAACUUCAGUAAACUGGGGCUAAUACCGGAUAGGAGCUCCUGCUGCAUGUUGGGGGUUGGAAAGUUUCGGCGGUUGGGGAUGGACUCGCGGCUUAUCAGCUUGUUGGUGGGGUAGUGGCUUACCAAGGCUUUGACGGGUAGCCGGCCUGAGAGGGUGACCGGCCACAUUGGGACUGAGAUACGGCCCAGACUCCUACGGGAGGCAGCAGUGGGGAAUAUUGCACAAUGGGCGGAAGCCUGAUGCAGCAACGCCGCGUGCGGGAUGACGGCCUUCGGGUUGUAAACCGCUUUCGCCUGUGACGAAGCGUGAGUGACGGUAAUGGGUAAAGAAGCACCGGCUAACUACGUG